rnacentral:lncRNA from 1 species
UUAAGGUUGACUCAGCCAUGCUUCUAAAUCUGUUGCACAUUCUUGCAGCUUUAUGACCAAGGUCAUUAAACCACCAUCAUGCAGCUUCAACCCUAAAGGUUGUCAUGCCAUGCGAAGCCAAUCAUGCUCCUCCUCUUACAUUUUGAUAUUGAAGAUUUGGGGGUAAGGGGUAUGCAAAAUCUAGUCCACAAAGGAAAAUUAGACUAAAUUGAUUUCUUUAAUCUGGACAAAAAAAUUGGAUUGGAUUGAUUCGUUCGAUCUCGAUUGAAAAAUUGGACCGGAUUGAUUUGUUCGGUCCAUAAUGGACCCACCCAGACUAGG